AGCACCGUAGCACAGCUGGGAGUGCGCCGGUCUCAUAUGUUCUUUACUUGAGGACUCUGAGCAAUCCGGAGGUCGCUUGAUCAAAACAAGUCGUUGCUA